GCCUGGGUGGCUCAGCCGGUUGGGCAUCUGACUUCGGCUCAGGACAUGAUCUCACAGUUUGCGGGUUCGAGCCCCGCGUCGGGCU
rfam:Felis catus isolate Cinnamon breed Abyssinian chromosome B2, whole genome shotgun sequence.